GAUGAACGCUGGCGGCGUGCCUAAUACAUGCAAGUCGAGCGAACAGAUGAGGAGCUUGCUCCUCUGACGUUAGCGGCGGACGGGUGAGUAACACGUGGAUAACCUACCUAUAAGACUGGGAUGACUUCGGGGAACCGGAGCUAAUACCGGAUAAUAUAUUGAACCGCAUGGUUCAAUAGUGAAAGACGGUUUUGCUGUCACUUAUAGAUGGAUCCGCGCCGCAUUAGCUAGUUGGUAAGGUAACGGCUUACCAAGGCAACGAUGCGUAGCCGACCUGAGAGGGUGAUCGGCCACACUGGAACUGAGACACGGUCCAGACUCCUACGGGAGGCAGCAGUAGGGAAUCUUCCGCAAUGGGCGAAAGCCUGACGGAGCAACGCCGCGUGAGUGAUGAAGGUCUUCGGAUCGUAAAACUCUGUUAUUAGGGAAGAACAAAUGUGUAAGUAACUAUGCACGUCUUGACGGUACCUAAUCAGAAAGCCACGGCUAACUACGUG
rnacentral:rRNA from 1 species